CACGUAGGGGCCAAGCGUUGUCCGGAUUUAUUGGGCGUAAAGAGCUCGUAGGCGGUUGGGUAAGUCGGGUGUGAAAACUCGAGGCUCAACCUCGAGACGCCGAUGGAAACCGCAUGGCUAGAGUCCGGAAGAGGAGAGUGGAAUUCCUGGUGUAGCGCUGAAGUGCGCAGAUAUCAGGAAGAACACCCGUGGCUAAGGCGGCUCUCUAGUACGGUACUGACGCUGAGACGCGAAAGCGUGGGGAGCGAACAGG
rnacentral:rRNA from 1 species